rnacentral:rRNA from 1 species
UACGUAGGGCGCAAGCGUUAUCCGGAAUUAUUGGGCGUAAAGAGCUCGUAGGCGGUUUGUCGCGUCUGCCGUGAAAGUCCGGGGCUCAACUCCGCGCCUGCAGUGGGUACGGGCAGACUAGAGUGCAGUAGGGGAGACUGGAAUUCCUGGUGUAGCGGUGGAAUGCGCAGAUAUCAGGAGGAACACCGGUGGCGAAGGCGGUUCUCUGGGCAUGUCCUGACGCUGAGGAGCGAAAGUGUGGGGAGCGAACAGG